AUAACUACCGUUUUACUUGUAAAGAAAUGUAAUGGAAAGCAAGAAAUACCUUUUCGAAAUAAACUUCAAUCCACGACGAUCCAUCGUUCAACGAAAAAUUCAAUUGAAAUAACUUAAAAGUUUGCAUGCAGCAUAGUCGAAAACACAAUGAGCAACAAAUUGAACAAAGCAGAAGUAAAAUACAUAAACGUGAGAACAAAGAGAGAAACAACAAAAGUGUGUAACUCAAAUGUACGAACGAACAGAAAUGCAGAAAUCAACACUGUGUAUUAAAAGCAGCUACUUUUUUUAUUUGUGCUGCUUUUUGGUUUUGUGUAAAAUAAGUUUUUUUAUGUUUUUUUUGUAAUGUGUUUGUAUUUUAUUGAUGAUAUACAACAAUUGGGUCAAGCACCUGUAUGCGGGAGCUUAAGGACCAACAUUGCUGGUGUGCAAACAUGCCAUAUUUAUGUAUGCUCAAAUAAAAGUCUCCAAA